rnacentral:lncRNA from 1 species
GGAAAGAAGCAAAUAAUAAUAGAUAUUAUUGAGUAUAUGUACUGCAAAUGUAUUUAACAGAACUAAUCUUUCAUGUUUUUUUUCACAUAUAAAUGUAUAUUUGACAGUAAACAACUGUUAUUAUUUACUUUUUGAUAUGAAAAAUAUCCUAACUCAUGUAGAAACUAUAAAAACACCCUCUUUAAAAGUGAUUUGUAUUCCCAAAUACUUAAUAUAAAUAUAUUAACGGUAAUAUUUAUAAUACAUUCUGACAAAACACAGUGUGAGUAACUGUAAAGUAAAUUAAUUUGUCACAUUAUUUAUUAAUCCCUUUAUUUGUAAUUCUAUUGUUUUAGCUAUAUCAUGGCUACCUUUAACUUCUUUGUUUCUUUCUUUCUUUUUUUUUUUUUUUUUUAUUUUUAAGGAAUUUUUCAAUAAAAGGGAUCAAAAAAUUAUUAAUUCAUGGACACCAUUUUGUAAUACGGUGAAUAGCUGUGUCAGAAAAAGACAUAAAACCAGUACCAAAGAAUGUAUGUGACCUGUUGAAAUGCAUUAUUAAAUGUAAGCUUCAAACAUUUUAUUUGUGACAUUAAAUAAAGUUGUCAUAAUAUUGACAAAGUGAAAAAUAAAAAAUAAACCUACAUAUUAGAAAACUAGGCCAUCAGUCAUAAUUUUUUUGUUCAUAGUAAUCAUACUUUUUAUUGUUUUAUUUAUUUUGUAAUUUCUAAUAAUCUAAAAUACUGACUAGUUUUGUUGAGUAAAAUGUAACUACAUUAAUUUCAUGUGUCAUAGAAGAGAUGUUCUCAAGAGCACACAUAAACGUCACAUUCUCUGAAUUUCCCCAGCAAAAAUCUCUUGAGUACCUCAUAUAAAAAUCCAUCUACAGGCUUUCAUAGACAACCUAGGAAGGCAGGGAAGGUCUCAAAGUUUUGUUACAUUGGCAAUUAGCAAGCAUUUAAUUCAUGGAAAUUCUUACAUACAGUGUCACAGUGUCACGACAUUCUGAACAAUGGUGCCAACCAUCCCUUUGCACCCUUGGUGGCAAUUUCAUGAAAGAGUUACAUGUGACUGGGUUGUAUUUACCACCGUGGCCUUAAUAGGCAUUUUAGUUGACUAACUACUGUAUCUCACUGACCACAAAACUGCUCAGUUUUACUCUUUAACACUCUGAGGAUGGACUCAAAUGGACAUUGAGCAGUAAGCAAAUUCUGAGAAACUGUUGAUAUUGAAAUCACCAAAACAAACAUGCCCCUAACCAAAAAGAUCAUACCCCUAUUUUGA